CCUAAAGCAAACGCCAGGCCACUCCUAAGUUCUGUGCAGAGAGGAACGGACUCCAACGUGACAGAGCACCUUUCAGGCCUCAGAUCAACCAUUUGUGAAAUACCUUUCUGCUGUCCUGAGCGUGUGACUGCUGCCCUGAUGAGGCAGCCUUCUCAGGAGUGUUACCCUAGGGAGACAGUUGCCCUAUUUGUUCGUCGAGGGUCCCUCUCUUUCCGGCUGCUGAUUCCUGUCCGUGUCUGCGAAGGCCCGGUUGACUGAUGUCUUCCAACUGCCUCGUCGAAAGGCUGGCCGGGCUCUCGGGGCGGACGUGGUCCGCCAGCAAGGCUGCCUUUCCCCCAAGACAGUGACACACAAAGUCUGGCCCGUGCGCCAGCCCUCGACCAGCCGGAUAAGCCCAGAAAUCCAGACUGAGCACUUACGUACCUUCACAGCGUUUCGGCAUUGCCACGAUGACCAAGCUCAGUCAGCGGGCCUGAAUCUUGAGUAUCUUUUUUUUUAAUUUGACUGUCUAGAUUCAUUUUUAUUAUAUUUUACAAAAGCAUCAGUCUGUAACAGAUGAGAAUAUUUUUCAAAGGUAGAGGGUGGGAGGUGUCUUUUACUACAGAUAAUUCAGAGGGUGCUGCUUUAGGGGCCCAGGCAGAAGGAGGUCUAGGCAGGCGGCCACUCUGCUAGCUGUCACACAGGGAGGGGUGAUCCACACACACAGCAAAGCAUAGAACUUGGUCUGCACCCCAGAACCCCCUUGCGCCCGCCUACCAGUCGCCCCCGACCGACAAUAGGUCACAUUCUGAUCUCAAACAGCAUAGGUCAGAUCUUGUCAGAUCUCUUGCCUCUGAAGUUCAAAACCUUUAUAAAUGGCAUGUGGAUCACUGGGGCGUGUUCACUCUGGGAAAACUCAUCAAGCUUUUUGCAGAAUUUGUGUCAGUUUUUGUUGUUGUUUUAAGGCAUGUCUACCCUCCCUCCCCUGCAUAAGGAAGUUCUCCUUUAAACAACACAGCUGAUUUAAGAGGCUCACCAAGUGCAGGAGUGACUCCAGCCGGUCGCUGGGGGCUGGGGACCUG